rnacentral:rRNA from 1 species
CACGUAGGGGGCAAGCGUUGUCCGGAUUUAUUGGGCGUAAAGAGCUCGUAGGCUGUUCGAUAAGUCGGGUGUGAAACCUCCAGGCUCAACCUGGAGACGCCACCCGAUACUGUCAUGACUAGAGUCCGGUAGGGGAGCGUGGAAUUCCUGGUGUAGCGGUGAAAUGCGCAGAUAUCAGGAGGAACACCAGCGGCGAAGGCGGCGCUCUGGGCCGGUACUGACGCUGAGGAGCGAAAGCGUGGGGAGCAAACAGG